GGCCUGGAUGAGACCCAUCCUGGCAAGAUCUGGGCUGGACCACGUCAGGCCCAAAGAAGGAAGAUGGAGGCUGGAGGAGGGGACAGGGCCUGUGUCGGUCAGCGGAGGAUCGAGACAGACCACUUCUGCCUCCCACCUGGCAGGCCCAGGAGGGCCGGGGGUUCUGGGGGGCGGGGGGCGGGGUGGUCUGGGCUGCAGGUGUGUUGUGGCCUGGCUCCCACCCCAGAAGUAAAUCGCUUCAUUUCCCUGUUUCCUCCCAUCCACCGAGCCACAAAGAAGUGUAGGUCCCUUGAUUCAUCCGGAAGAGGAAUUCUUCCAGAAGGAGAAUAUUCAUCUAGGACGGGGCAGAAUUGGGAGAUAAGAGGUAAGAGACCUUUUCCUCAAAAAACUGGAGACCCAGCAGAAGGCACAGCUCCCUUCCUCCGGGGUCUUGGGUAAGUCAUUUCACCUCUCCGGGCCUCAGUUCGCUCAUCUAUGAAAUGAGGGCGUGUGUUUAGCUCCCCUCUGAGGCUCCUCCAACUCUGUCAUUGACGGGGCCUCCGGGCAGCACCCUGUCCCCGUCAUCUGUAGGGAAACAGAGGCUCCAGGGGAGGGAGCCCACCGGGUCUUGUGCGUCUGGCCAGGCUUUUCUGGCUGGAACUUUCUCUCCAGGUGCUGCGGGCUUUGUCAGCAGCCUGGGAGACGGGGGACAUGGAGGAUCACAGCGGCAGAUCUUAAAUCAAAGCCCGGGCCAUCCAUCUUCCAGAAGAGACGGAAAUAACUAGGUGGGUGGCACAGACCGCCACCGCAUGGACAGCGAGAGAUUAGAAAGCUGGAAUCUUGAGCCCCUAAGUCCCUUCACCAAUUUCCCCAAACCCCAGGGACCUGCCUGCUGAAGGGAGAACUCAUUUUAGACUUAGCCCAGGAGGGUCCGUGGGCUCGACUGCAGGAAAUUCCUCUGUGUGGGGGCUUCUGAAGGCCCUUCCCCCACCACUGUUCUCUUAGCCCCCUUGCCCAUAGUUUCUCCUUGCAGGCACCCUCACGAGAGUCAGGCUGGCAGUGGUGGGGUAGCCGAGUGGUUAGUGGGUGUGCCAGACCGAUGGCUCAAAUCCUGGCUCCACUGCUCACCAGCUCUGCAAAGCUGGGCAAGCUGCAAAGAGACGGUUUGGCUCUCAGUUUCCUCAUCUAUAAAGCAGGAAGGAGGGGUUCCCGUCGUGGCUCAGUGGAAACAAAUCUGAUUGGCAACCAGGACACAGGUUCGAUCCCUGGUCUUGCUCAGUGGGUUAAGGAUCUGGCGUAGCCCUGAGCUGUGGUGUAGGUCACAGAUGCGGCUCAGAUCUGGUGUUGCUGUGGCUGUGGUGUAG
rnacentral:lncRNA from 1 species